GUAAUUUCUUUGAGUUUUUGCAUCUUUAGAAUUUCUUAUCCCGUUUAUAUCGCGUUUAUUUCCUUCUCAUCCCUUCAAGUCCACCACCCCACACGGCCACACUCUGCUUCACACCCUCUGUCACUAGAAACCACCGAGAUCGAUGCUUUCCCAGCUAACCCUUCAUCGCCGGCAAACCCAUUACCGACAUCGUUUGACUCGUCUUUCUCUGACGCUUCCGCAAUAGCUUUCGGAAUAGAACAAUAGAUUCGUAGUUCCAAGGUGUGUGCAGUGCGCUUGAGGCUUGGAGUUUGUGCUGGGGACAUGGGGAUGCGUCACAUGAAACGUAUGUAGGGCAGCUGCUUGCCACUUGGGGUUAUGUAGCCUUCGUAGUGGUGAUGCACGAUGUUUGUGGUCUCUAUCUGUGUGCUAGAUUUCAGAUAUUAUAAUGUUUCAUAGCAACGUACAUCGGGAUAGAGCAUCAACUUCGUGUUGGGUGAAAUUCAAUUGUAGUCACAGAAAACAAGGCCAAUUCAAUUGUAGUCACAGAAAACAAGGCCAAUUUAUCAAACAGGGCCAAUUUAUCUUUGUUUAGUAGUUUCCUGGAUUCCUUAUCUCAUUAUUUAUUUUAAUGUAGAGAGUAUUUAUUUAGAUGUAAUAAAGUAGUUGGUGUGAAAGGUCAAUGCACUGACUACUAAAUUGUUAAGCACACACAUAUGCAUUGUUGCGCAUCCGCUUCAUGAUUCA